UUCCAGCUGGUUUUGAGGAAGUGAGCUGCCAUGUACUAGGCCACGUGGCAAGGGCCUGGUUGGGGACCUCCAGGGGUUGAGAGCAUCCUCUGGACAACAUGGAAAAAGAAAAUGAAAAUGGUGACCUCAGCCCUAUAGCUAGAAGGAAUUGAAUCCUGUCAACAACGAUACUCAUCACUCACUGCAGAUGUUACUUUAAGACAUUCUGGAGCAGCGUCAUGUGCAGGAACAAUAAGGAAGUGAGUGCUUUUGUAAUUCCUGAACAACUGUGUCUUACACUUACUAAGUUCUCUUGCCUGCCACCAUGUAAGAUAUGCUUUUACUCUUCCGCCUUCCACCGUGACUGUGAGGCCUCCCCAGCCAUGUGAAACUGCCUUUGAGCUUAUACUGAAUUAUACCACCAGCUUUCCUAGGUCUUGAAGCUUACAGACAGCAGAUCUUGGGACUUCUCAGGCACCAUAAUCAAUCAUAGAUAAAUGAUCCAAUGAUUCGGAACUUGAAAAGUGGUAGCUUUAUGAAUUCUCCUUAAGAAGAAACCUGUGCCCUGAUCUUGCCUACUCACCCAAAGGCACUGUGAGAUAGCAUCAAAGGAACAGCUAGUAAGAGACACAGAGCCAGAAAUCAGGGAAGUAAAAUACACUUGACAUCUACGUUCGGAAAGAAAUUUUAGGAGGCAGAAGCAAAUGGAUCAGAAGCUGCUUAUAUUUUUGCAAGAUUACCAAAGAAACCAUUGGUGGAGAAAGUUCUGUGACCAACUUGUCUGAGUCUAGUAAGAUUGAACGCUCACACACAAGUUUCAUGAAGUGGGUUUGAUACUUACAGAUAAGCAGCAAGGACCAACAGAAGCUGAUGAUCUAUGGUGAACUUUUUCCCAAGGCUCCGGAAAGCUGCCUAAAGUAGAUGGAGUCUUCUCUGUGUGUGCCCCACUGGUCCUGCAGUUGAAGGAUCCGGUAAAGCAGCCUGCCCUUGGUUUUAUACUCCAGAGGAACGUGAUUCGCUGGACUAAAGCAUUGAAGUGCAUCCUGUUUCCGGGGGGCACUGGAACAGAGCCUGGUCUGUUCUAGCCAGUCCCUUUCUAUCUCAGGAUAACAUUCUACAGUUAUUCUUGAGAACUAUAAUCAAAUAAGCAGGGAGAACUGGGAAAGCAGAGGCUCAUUGUGGAACCCUCAAGGAGCAUGGGGUCGUCUUCAUCCCUCAGUUUAUAAAUGGCCAAGGAGAGUAAUGCAACAAAAACUUCUCAGAGUUAAAAGCCAGAGUUCCUAAAGAACCGUGGACAAAGGGUUCUGUCUAGUGGGCAGAAUUCAUCCAGCGAAGGUGCUUACUGCACUCCCAGCAUGUGCUUGGGAACUUUAUUAAAAUUCCUUCCUAUUGAGAUUUAAAUUGCUGUCCAGAAUUAUACAAUAUAAUGAAUGGGGGCAUUCAUUAUGUGUAUUCUAUGCCUUCUCCAUCAUUGCAUAUUCAGUCCUCGUGCUAGAGAGAGGCAGAUAAUCUACCUUUUAAAUUGAUAGGUCUCCUAACUACAGAGGGUCACAUCUGGAUCUGAUGGCACCUACAGAACUUGGACUCUGAGCGACAAUCAGUGACCAGGAAAUUUGGAACCCAGGUUUUCCCAACCUACAUCUACAAAAUGGAAUGGGUCUGAUUCGCAAGUUUUCAGAGAAAGAAGCCAACCUUAAUCAGACUGUGAUAUGAUGAGGAAAUAAAACUUGCUGUGCUAAUCAACUGAUACUGGGAAGCAU
rnacentral:lncRNA from 1 species